AUGGUGGUGGACGUGCUUGCCGCCAUCCUAGAUAAGGCCAAAGCCGCUGGCCAUAUUCGUGGGAUUACCCCUCAUCUGGCGGGCGGCUCCGGGAUCUCCAUGCUCCAGUACACCGACGACACCAUCAUCAUGGUCGAGGGCUCGGACACGGACAUUGCUAACCUCAACUCCCUUCUUCUCUGCUUCCAACAAAUGUCUGGCCUCAAGAUCAACUUCGACAAGAGUGAUGUAAUGGUUAUGGGCUACUCUCCGGCUGAAGCCCUUAACAUCGCCAACCGCCUCAAUUGCCGCCUCGGCUCCUUUCCCACGACUUACUUGGGAACCCCCAUCAGUGACUCUCGGCUCACUGUCGCGGACUUGCGCCCCACGGUCGCCAAGUUACAAACGCGCAUGGAGCCUUGGCAAGGCCGAUGGCUGUCAAAGGCGGCUUGGACGAUCCUCAUUAAUUCCUCCCUCACUAGCCUCCUCCUGUUUCUUAUGAGCUUCUAUAGCCUCCAUGAGACCCUUCACCAUGAGAUCACCAAAAUUCAAUCUCGUUUCUUCUGGGCGGUUGACAACAAUAAGGAGAAAAACCACAUGGUUAGCUGGCCAGACAUCUGCAAGCCCCGAGAACAGGGAGGCCUCGGUAUCAUGUGCUCUAAACGCAUGACAUCACCCUCCUCACCCGCUGGCUCUGGCGCAUUUCGCAAGGACAUGGUGGUCUCUGGCUUGACAUUAUCCGGAACAAGUACCUGCGCGGACAGCCCCUGGCCUUUUGUCAGAGAUCCGGCGGCUCCCAGUUUUGGCAAUCGGUUAUCCAACUGCUUCUCAUCCUUCGCAUCGGAACCUCCAUCUCGGUUGGAUCGGGUACAACGACGCUGUUCUGGUUCGACCGGUGGGCGCGAGACUCCCCCUUUGCGGCCCGUUUCCCUGACCUCUUCUCCAUUGUUGUCGCCCCCUUAA
rnacentral:rRNA from 1 species